rnacentral:misc_RNA from 1 species
CUCUCUCCCGAACAACCGCCCAAACCAAAUCGCAUUUUUCCCCCUCCCAAGUGUCGUCGUGUCGUGUGUCGUCUUAUCCCGACCGAUUAAGUUAGUUGAACAAGAACCAUGGCUGCAACGGGCGAACUCGCUAUCCUCAGUGUGUCCAACAAGGCGGGACUGCUGGACCUGGCCAAGAAACUACAGCAGGCCGGGCUGAGACUGGUGGCUUCGGGUGGCACUGCCAAGGCCAUCAGGGAAAUCGGCUUGCCCGUCAAGGAUGUGUCCGAGAUCACAGGGGCUCCCGAGAUGCUGGGCGGCCGUGUUAAGACUCUGCACCCUGCAGUUCACGGAGGCAUUCUGGCCCGCAAGAUUGACAGCGAUCUCGCCGACAUGAACAGGCAGGGCUACGAGUUUGUGAGCGUGGUGGUGUGCAACCUGUACCCCUUUGUGGAGGCCAUCUCCAAGCCAAACACGACUGUGGCAGAGGCUGUCGAGCAGGUGGACAUUGGUGGCGUCACUCUUCUGCGGGCCGCUGCCAAGAACCAUGAACGGGUGACCAUCAUCUGCGAUCCCGACGAUUACGAUGUGGUUGCCAAGGAGAUGCUGUCGUCGCCGACCAGGCAGACGUCCCUAGAGACCAGGAGGCGUCUGGCCGUCAAGGCGUUCCUGCACACGGCCCAGUACGACGCGGCCAUCUCGGACUACUUCCGCAAGCAGUACCUGGCGGGCGUGGCACACCUGCCGCUGCGGUACGGCACCAACCCGCACCAGACGCCCGCCCAGCUUUGCACGUCCCUGCCCCGCCUGCCCCUCUCCGUGGUGAAUGGGUCCCCCGGCUUCAUCAACCUGUGUGACGCCCUCAACGCGUGGCAGUUGGUGAAGGAGCUCAAGGCCGCCCUGGGCAUCCCUGCCGCCACCUCCUUCAAGCACGUCAGCCCUGCCGGUGCGGCGGUGGGCAAUCCCUUGACGCGGGACGAGGCGAAGCUGUGCAUGGUGGACGACCUGUUCGACAGCCUCACCCCCAUCGCCACUGCAUACGCCAGGGCCAGGGGAGCCGACCGAAUGUCUUCCUUUGGAGACUUCCUGGCCCUGUCUGACGAGUGCGACGCUGUCACCGCCAAGAUUGUCUCCCGAGAGGUGUCGGACGGCGUCAUUGCCCCUUCCUACAGUGCCGAGGCCCUGGAGAUUCUCCGCAAGAAGAAAGGUGGAAACUACUGCGUCCUCCAGAUGGACCCGACGUACGAGCCGACCCUGAUGGAGUCACGCACCCUGUUUGGCCUGACCCUGGAACAGCGUCGCAACGAUGCCAAGAUCGACCCCUCCCUCUUCACCCAGAUCGUCUCCAAGAACAAGGACCUGCCGGAGUCUGCGGUGAGGGACCUGAUUGUGGCCACCAUUGCACUCAAGUACACCCAGUCCAACUCGGUCUGCUACGCCAAGGACGGACAGGUGAUCGGCAUCGGUGCUGGCCAGCAGUCACGUAUCCACUGCACUCGCCUCGCUGGAGACAAGGCCAACAACUGGUGGCUGCGUCAACACCCCAACCUGAAGGCGAUGGUGUUCAAGAAGGGGGUCAAGCGGGCCGAGAUCUCCAACAUCAUCGACGUCUACGUCGGAGGCGUCUUCGGUCAGGACAUGCCGCUGGAGCAGUACCACAACUCUGUUGAGAACCCGCUGCCACAGCUGACCGAGGCAGAGAAGAAGGACUGGAUCUCCAAGAUCUCCGGGGUGGCCCUGAGCUCGGACGCCUUCUUCCCGUUCAGGGACAACAUUGACCGGGCUCGCCAGAGUGGAGUGCAGUACAUAGUGAGUCCCGGCGGCUCGACCAACGACCAGGGAGUGAUUGAGGCGUGCGACGAGUACGGCAUCACCCUGAUCCACUCGGGCCUCCGGCUCUUCCAUCACUGAGGCCAACCCCCCGGUGGUGCCAAAGCUGGGACCAGCAGGCAACUGGCAACUGGCGUCUGAUCAACUGAUGCGAAGUGGUCGCCUGAAGAAAUGGAUGUCUAGGAUUUUGUAGCGGUGCUUCCGUCACGACGACAUGUGUUACAAGAGGCGGACUCAACAUGGUUCAACCCUUGCCAAAUGUCAAUUGUGUGCAAUUUUUCGUAUAUGUCUAAAUGAGCCGUUCAGAAAGUCUUUUCUCAUGGGGCAUGUCGUAAACGUGCAUUCUGUUAUUCUGCUUGCCUGGUUAAUAAAGCAUACUUUUUCAGUAGUAAAA